rnacentral:rRNA from 1 species
CGGGGGGGGCAAGCGUUGUUCGGAAUUACUGGGCGUAAAGGGUUCGUAGGGGGCCAAGUAAGUCAGACGUGAAAUCCCUCAGCUUAACUGGGGAACUGCGUCUGAUACUGAUUGGCUUGAGUGCAGGAGAGGAACGCGGAAUUCCCGGUGUAGCGGUGAAAUGCGCAGAUAUCGGGAAGAACACCCGUGGCGAAGGCGGCUCUCUGGGACGGUACUGACGCUGAGACGCGAAAGCGUGGGGAGCGAACAGG